rnacentral:lncRNA from 1 species
UUAGGAUAGUAAACCAUAUAUAUAUUAUAUAUAGUAACAUAUAUAACUAUGUAUAUUACUUGCUUAUUAGGAUAGUAAACCAUAUAUAUAUUAUAUAUAGUAACAUAUAUAAAUAUGGUUUAUUAGUAUAUAUAUAUGGUUUAUUAGGAUAGUAAACCAUAUAUAUAUUAUAUAGUAACAUAUAUGUGGUAACAGUGAUAAAUUCACAACUUUGUCAACAACCAAUAACCUGCCAUUGAUGGAAGUUAAUACAUCUCUUGUAUGCAUUUCAUAGUCACCCUAUAAGCUCAACCUUCAAUGCUCAACCAUGUUAUCUAGUGCCCUUUUAGCAUUGUCGAGGUUUCUAAAAUCUCCUCCCUGGCCUUUAGUAUUGUCUAGCUGUGCAGGGUAGCCAAGUAUUGAGCAACUCCCAAUUCAGGAGGAUGGAAAGCUCCAAAACUAACUCGUUAUACAUCUAUAGCAUCAUUACAUACUCAAUAGCAUGAUUAAAAUAUUAUAAAAUUGUAACGGGAACCGUCAUGUUAUUAUGUACUAACAACUUGUCGGCUCCUAUUAAAAAUGCUUAAGGUAUCGUUUGGUUCGAAUAUAAGUAAGAACUAUCUAUUAUAAGAAUAGGUAUAAGUUCAGGUAUAAGCAAGAACUAGACCAAUUUUGCGUUUGGAUAAAAAUUGGAUUGUUUCCGGGAAUAAGAAAAAUAACGUUUGGAUAGAUGAGAUAGAAUAAGAAAGAUAGUGAAUAAUUAUAAAUAAAAAUAAUAAGAUAGUGAAUAAUUAUAAAUAAAAAUAAUAAUAUUAUCCCUCUCAUUAUAUUUGAAUUUGAAUUGUUAAAUUUUACAAUUAUAUUUUUAAAUUUAAAUUUUUAAAAUUUAAAUUUCAAAAUUUGAAAUUAAAAUCUUAAAUUUUAAAAUCUCAAUUUUUAAAUUCAAAAUUUUAAAUUUUAAAUUUCAAACUUUAAAUUUAAGAUCAAAUUUAAAUUUGAAAACAUAAAAUAUAAAAUUUAAAUUUAAAAAUUCAAAAUAUCAAAUUUAAAAUUUUGAAUUUAAAAUUAUAAACUUUUAUUGUGAGAUUACAAAUUAUAAAUUUUAAAAUUUUAAAAUAUGAAUAGGGGUGGGAACAAUUAAUAAAAAUAAUUUAUUAUAAUAAAUUUAUAAAUUUGAUAAAAAAUAAUUUUUUCAAUAAUUUUUUAAAUUUUUUAUUAUUAAUAAAUUUAUAAUUUUUUUAAAAUUCUACAUAAACUUAAAUUUAAUAAAAAUAAUUUAUUAUAAUAUUUAAAUAUUAUUUAUUAUAAAAUUUAUUAUAAUAUUUAAAAAUAAAUAAUAUGUAUUAAUAUAAUAUAAUUAAUAAUUUUAUAAUAAAAAUAAUAAUAUUAUAGUAUUAAUAUAUAACAUAUUAUAUUUAUAUAUAAUUUAGUUUUAAUUCAAUUUAUAAUUUUAAUAAAGUUUAAAACUAAACAUUGGAAUAGCACUAUUAUACUAAAAUGGUGGUAUAGUAUAUCUCAAGCUAUUCCGGAAUAACCUAAGAUAGCAAGCUUUGACCAGGAUAAAAUAUCCCGACAAAAAAUCAUCUCAUUUGACAGAAUAGCCCCGCUUAUACUCCGAACAAAA